CGGGACACGUGGUAUCCUGUCUGAAUAUGGGGGGACCAUCCUCCAAGGCUAAAUACUCCUGACUGACCGAUAGUGAACCAGUACCGUGAGGGAAAGGCGAAAAGAACCCCGGCGAGGGGAGUGAAAAAGAACCUGAAACCGUGUACGUACAAGCAGUGGGAGCACGCUUAGGCGUGUGACUGCGUACCUUUUGUAUAAUGGGUCAGCGACUUAUAUUCUGUAGCAAGGUUAACCGAAUAGGGGAGCCGAAGGGAAACCGAGUCUUAACUGGGCGUUAAGUUGCAGGGUAUAGACCCGAAACCCGGUGAUCUAGCCAUGGGCAGGUUGAAGGUUGGGUAACACUAACUGGAGGACCGAACCGACUAAUGUUGAAAAAUUAGCGGAUGACUUGUGGCUGGGGGUGAAAGGCCAAUCAAACCGGGAGAUAGCUGGUUCUCCCCGAAAGCUAUUUAGGUAGCGCCUCGUGAAUUCAUCUCCGGGGGUAGAGCACUGUUUCGGCAAGGGGGUCAUCCCGACUUACCAACCCGAUGCAAACUGCGAAUACCGGAGAAUGUUAUCACGGGAGACACACGGCGGGUGCUAACGUCCGUCGUGAAGAGGGAAACAACCCAGACCGCCAGCUAAGGUCCCAAAGUCAUGGUUAAGUGGGAAACGAUGUGGGAAGGCCCAGACAGCCAGGAUGUUGGCUUAGAAGCAGCCAUCAUUUAAAGAAAGCGUAAUAGCUCACUGGUCGAGUCGGCCUGCGCGGAAGAUGUAACGGGGCUAAACCAUGCACCGAAGCUGCGGCAGCGACGCUGAUGCGUUGUUGGGUAGGGGAGCGUUCUGUAAGCCUGUGAAGGUGUGCUGUGAGGCAUGCUGGAGGUAUCAGAAGUGCGAAUGCUGACAUAAGUAACGAUAAAGCGGGUGAAAAGCCCGCUCGCCGGAAGACCAAGGGUUCCUGUCCAACGUUAAUCGGGGCAGGGUGAGUCGACCCCUAAGGCGAGGCCGAAAGGCGUAGUCGAUGGGAAACAGGUUAAUAUUCCUGUACUUGGUGUUACUGCGAAGGGGGGACGGAGAAGGCUAUGUUGGCCGGGCGACGGUUGUCCCGGUUUAAGCGUGUAGGCUGGUUUUCCAGGCAAAUCCGGAAAAUCAAGGCUGAGGCGUGAUGACGAGGCACUACGGUGCUGAAGCAACAAAUGCCCUGCUUCCAGGAAAAGCCUCUAAGCAUCAGGUAACAUCAAAUCGUACCCCAAACCGACACAGGUGGUCAGGUAGAGAAUACCAAGGCGCUUGAGAGAACUCGGGUGAAGGAACUAGGCAAAAUGGUGCCGUAACUUCGGGAGAAGGCACGCUGAUAUGUAGGUGAAGUCCCUCGCGGAUGGAGCUGAAAUCAGUCGAAGAUACCAGCUGGCUGCAACUGUUUAUUAAAAACACAGCACUGUGCAAACACGAAAGUGGACGUAUACGGUGUGACGCCUGCCCGGUGCCGGAAGGUUAAUUGAUGGGGUCAGCGCAAGCGAAGCUCUUGAUCGAAGCCCCGGUAAACGGCGGCCGUAACUAUAACGGUCCUAAGGUAGCGAAAUUCCUUGUCGGGUAAGUUCCGACCUGCACGAAUGGCGUAAUGAUGGCCAGGCUGUCUCCACCCGAGACUCAGUGAAAUUGAACUCGCUGUGAAGAUGCAGUGUACCCGCGGCAAGACGGAAAGACCCCGUGAACCUUUACUAUAGCUUGACACUGAACAUUGAGCCUUGAUGUGUAGGAUAGGUGGGAGGCUUAGAAGUGUGGACGCCAGUCUGCAUGGAGCCGACCUUGAAAUACCACCCUUUAAUGUUUGAUGUUCUAACGUUGACCCGUAAUCCGGGUUGCGGACAGUGUCUGGUGGGUAGUUUGACUGGGGCGGUCUCCUCCUAAAGAGUAACGGAGGAGCACGAAGGUUGGCUAAUCCUGGUCGGACAUCAGGAGGUUAGUGCAAUGGCAUAAGCCAGCUUGACUGCGAGCGUGACGGCGCGAGCAGGUGCGAAAGCAGGUCAUAGUGAUCCGGUGGUUCUGAAUGGAAGGGCCAUCGCUCAACGGAUAAAAGGUACUCCGGGGAUAACAGGCUGAUACCGCCCAAGAGUUCAUAUCGACGGCGGUGUUUGGCACCUCGAUGUCGGCUCAUCACAUCCUGGGGCUGAAGUAGGUCCCAAGGGUAUGGCUGUUCGCCAUUUAAAGUGGUACGCGAGCUGGGUUUAGAACGUCGUGAGACAGUUCGGUCCCUAUCUGCCGUGGGCGCUGGAGAACUGAGGGGGGCUGCUCCUAGUACGAGAGGACCGGAGUGGACGCAUCACUGGUGUUCGGGUUGUCAUGCCAAUGGCACUGCCCGGUAGCUAAAUGCGGAAGAGAUAAGUGCUGAAAGCAUCUAAGCACGAAACUUGCC
rnacentral:rRNA from 1 species